rnacentral:tRNA from 2 species
GGGUCCAUAGCUCAAUGGUAGAGCAGCAGCCUUUUAAGCUGUUGGUUCUGGGUCCGAGUCCCAGUGGGCUCACAA